rnacentral:rRNA from 1 species
ACACUGGGACUGAGACACGGCCCAGACUCCUACGGGAGGCAGCAGUGGGGAAUUUUCCGCAAUGGGCGAAAGCCUGACGGAGCAACGCCGCGUGAGGGAUGAAGGCCUCUGGGCUGUAAACCUCUUUUAUCAAGGAAGAAGAUCUGACGGUACUUGAUGAAUAAGCCACGGCUAAUUCCGUGCCAGCAGCCGCGGUAAUACGGGAGUGGCAAGCGUUAUCCGGAAUUAUUGGGCGUAAAGCGUCCGCAGGCGGCCCAACAAGUCUGCUGUUAAAAAGUGGAGCUUAACUCCAUCAUGGCAGUGGAAACUGUUGGGCUAGAGUGUGGUAGGGGCAGAGGGAAUUCCCGGUGUAGCGGUGAAAUGCGUAGAUAUCGGGAAGAACACCAGUGGCGAAGGCGCUCUGCUGGGCCAUCACUGACGCUCAUGGACGAAAGCCAGGGGAGCGAAAGGGAUUAGAUACCCCUGUAGUCCUGGCCGUAAACGAUGAACACUAGGUGUCGGGGGAAUCGACCCCUCCGGUGUCGUAGCCAACGCGUUAAGUGUUCCGCCUGGGGAGUACGCACGCAAGUGUGAAACUCAAAGGAAUUGACGGGGGCCCGCACAAGCGGUGGAGUAUGUGGUUUAAUUCGAUGCAACGCGAAGAACCUUACCAGGGUUUGAAAUCAUUUCAAAACUCCUUGAAAGAGGAGCCUCCUUCGGGAUGGAAUGACAGGUGGUGCAUGGCUGUCGUCAGCUCGUGUUGUGAAAUGUCGAGUUAAGUCUCGUAACGAGCGCAACCCAUGUCUCUUGUUGCUCACUGAGUGCUUAAGAGAGACUGCCGACCAACAUCGGAGGAAGGUGUGGAUGAUGUCAAGUCAGCAUGCCCCUUACAUCCUGGGCUACACACGUACUACAAUGGUAGGGACAAUGAGCUGCGAUCCUGCGAAGGCUAGCCAAUCUCAAAAACCCUAUCUCAGUUCGGAUUGUACUCUGCAACUCGAGUACAUGAAGGUGGAAUCGCUAGUAAUCGCUGGUCAGCUAUACAGCGGUGAAUACGUUCCCGGGUCUUGUACACACUGCCCGUCACACCAUGGAAGCCGACUCUUCCCUAAGUCGUUACUCGAACCCAUUGGGACGAGGAUGCCGAAGGCAGGGUUGGUGACUAGGGUGAAGUCGUAACAAGGUAGCCGUACUGGAAGGUGUGGCUG